rnacentral:ribozyme from 1 species
UGCCCAGCAACUUCUAUCCCUACCUCCACGCGGUACCGACCGGAAACUAUGAGCAACCUUAGGGAAGA